UUCCGGUUGAUCCUGCCGGACCCCACUGCUAUCGAGAUGGGACUAAAGUAUGCUAGUCGAACGACCAGAACUAUGUCUGGAAGUGGCACACUGCUCAGUAACACGUAGCUAACCUACCCUUAGGACGUGGAUACCCCCGAGAAAUUGGGGUUAAUCCGCGAUAGGUGUAAUGUCCUGGAAUGGUAUUACGCCUAAAGGUGUAUCAUACAUGUUUGAUAUACGCCUAAGGAUGGGGCUGCGGCCGAUCAGGCUGUUGGUGAGGUAAUGGCUCACCAAACCUUUGACCGGUACGGGCCAUGAGAGUGGUAGCCUGGAGAUGGACACUGAGACAAGGGUCCAGGCCCUAAGGGGCGCAGCAACCGCGAAACCUCCACAAUGCACUCACGUGCGAUGGGGCUAUCUCGAGUGCCACCUGAUGAAGGUGGCUUUUCCUAGGUCUUCAAAGCCUUGGGAAUAAGAGGGGGGCAAGACUGGUGUCAGCCGCCGCGGUAACACCAGCCCCUCGAGUGGUGGGGAUGAUUAUUUGGCCUAAAGCGUCCGUAGCCGGCCGAGCAAGUCUUCCGUUAAAUCCAGCGUCUCAAGCGUUGGACUGCGGGAGAUACUACACGGCUAGAGAGUGGGAGAGGUCAGCGGUAUUCUGGGGGUAGGGGCGAAAUCCUUUGAUCCCCGGAGGACCACCAGUGGCGAAGGCUGCUGACUAGAACACGUCUGACGGUCAGGGACGAAAGCUGGGGUAGCGAACCGGAUUAGAUACCCGGGUAGUCCCAGCCGUAAACGAUGCAUGCUAGGUGUUGGGUUGGCCACGAGCCACCCCAGUGCCGCAGGGAAGCCGUUAAGCAUGCCGCCUGGGAAGUACGAUCGCAAGAUUGAAACUUAAAGGAAUUGGCGGGGGAGCACCACCAGGCGUGAAGCCUGCGGUUUAAUUGGAGUCAACGCCGGA
rnacentral:rRNA from 1 species